UGAUCCCUCGGUUCAUGGUUGGUGGUGUCCAGCAGACAGAAUACAGCAGAUGCUGAGACAAUAAGUCAUCACACUUUGGCUACUUCUAGAGACAGACAAAGUGAAGAUAAACAAGAAGAGAUGGAGAUCUGUUGAUGAUGCUGUAUGAUGACACAUUUACACCUUUAGAGGACAGACAUAAAAAUGGAAUCGCACUGACCAGCACAUGUUGGAUGACCAUAUCUAAUACUUGUAAACUGCUGUGAAUGAAAAAAAAAAAAAAGUUGAAAGGAAACUACAAUGAACAUGGUCCUGUGCCCACUGUACCCAAAGGAAAAAUUACCAUUUACUUUAAUGACACAGAAUUAGGUCCUAUUUCUCACUGACAACCACUGUUUUAAAUGUAAAUUUUUUCCAUUUUACUCACAUGGAAAACUUAAGGGUGGGCUCAGUUACUAGUCAUCAAGAAAAGCAAAAUCCACACUUUAUGUUUAAAAUAUAUUUUUUUCUGUGAUUAUGUCCCUUUUUUAUUCAUUUGCCAUGAAUAUUAGAGUUAAUAAGUUUCAUUAGGAAGAGCAUAAAUUCAGCACACAUUGCAAAUUAUUUAUGAAAAACAGAUCUCAUUUUCACAGUCUUGAUUGUUUACAUCAUGAUUUACAUGCAUGUGAACUCUUCACCAGAAAGACUGUGAACUUUUUCCAGCUGUAUCAUUAUUCCUUAAGGCAUUUUUUCUCCCUAUUCUUUACUUAUGGCUUUAGAUUCCACAGGUAGUCAAAUUAAUGUGGAGGAGCAGCCUUUUGUCCUUCCAGACAAACAGUUUUGCAGAUUGUUUAGAGCUCUGAAAUGAUCAUCAGUUCAUCAAAGUUCACUGACAAGUCUUUUGAUGCUUCAUCAUUGAUAUUUCAUGACAAGUUGUUAUCAUAGGUGUAUCAUAAUAAUCCAACUUAUUCCAUUACCAUAGACCCUCUGAACAAGGACUGAAGAACAUAGGAGCUUCUAGUAUCAACAGGAGCCAUUUCUUUGUGCUGAAGACUUGUAUUUUCUCUUUAGUAGAAUUGACUGUAUCUUCUCAUGGCUUAAUAUCUAGAACAUGCAAAGAAGUCCAGUCUUAUUUUGCUAGGAAAAAGUUUGAAUUUGAAUUUAAAUAGCAGCAGUCACCUUGAAAUGCCCUUAUGAAUGUCAUAAAAUAAUUAAUAAUAAAAAAUACCAUUGUAUACAGUGGUGAGUUGAGAACAAAAGAAAACAAGAUUUAAAAGCUCAUUUAUAACCUCUGAAAAAAGUUAAAACAAUUUACAUUGGCUUCCUUGGACAUAAGGGCUCUAGGUUGUUGUCCAGCCACAUUUCUUGCUAAAAAGUCCUUACCUGAAUUCUAUAAUUUGAGGCUUAGACAUUGCUUUUAUCACUCAUCAGAGACAUUCAAAAUAAUUAAAGUAUUUCCAAGGAACCCUAGGCAGACAAACACCAAGUUGUGGAGAAUUGAGAGGGAAACUGUUGGAAAAUUCCAGUGAUUUAUCAUCAAGUUAAUGGGCAAGGGAUUUGAUUGGCAGUAUCCCCAAAAGGUGAGAAAUGCAAGAGAAAACAAAUGUCAUUGCGUGUUAAGUAACAAACAUGAAAGUUGUCAUAUCAUAAUUUUUCACAGGGAUGGGUUUGGCUGCUGCUUGGCAUCUGGUAUAUAGUUAAAUCUGCAUGUUAUUAUAUCUUAAUCAAGCAAAUCCAAAUGGAAAUAAACAAAUAGAAAUAAACCAAUUCCA